rnacentral:rRNA from 1 species
AUUGAACGCUGGCGGCAGGCCUAACACAUGCAAGUCGAACGGUAACAGGAAGAAGCUUGCUUCUUUGCUGACGAGUGGCGGACGGGUGAGUCAUGUCUGGGAAACUGCCUGAUGGAGGGGGAUGACUACUGGAAACGGUAGCUAAUACCGCAUAACGUCGCAAGACCAAAGAGGGGGACCUUCGGGCCUCUUGCCAUCGGCUGUGCCCAGAUGGGAUUAGCUAGUAGGUGGGGUAACGGCUCACCUAGGCGACGAUCCCUAGCUGGUCUGAGAGGAUGACCAGCCACACUGGAACUGAGACACGGUCCAGACUCCUACGGGAGGCAGCAGUGGGGAAUAUUGCACAAUGGGCGCAAGCCUGAUGCAGCCAUGCCGCGUGUAUGAAGAAGGCCUUCGGGUUGUAAAGUACUUUCAGCGGGGAGGAAGGGAGUAAAGUUAAUACCUUCGCUCAUUGACGUUACCCGCAGAAGAAGCACCGGCUAACUCCGUG